AGUGAACGCUGGCGGCAGGCCUAACACAUGCAAGUCGAGCGGCAGCGCGGGGGCAACCCUGGCGGCGAGCGGCGGACGGGUGAGGAAUUCGUCGGAAUCUGCCUCUCUGUGGGGGAUAACGUAGGGAAACUUACGCUAAUACCGCAUACGUCCUACGGGAGAAAGUGGGGGACCGCAAGGCCUCACGCAGAAAGAUGAGCCGACGACCGAUUAGCUAGUUGGUGGGGUAAAGGCUCACCAAGGCGACGAUCGGUAGCUGGACUGAGAGGAUGAUCAGCCACACUGGGACGGAGACACGGCCCAGACUCCUACGGGAGGCAGCAGUGGGGAAUAUUGGACAAUGGGCGCAAGCCUGAUCCAGCCAUGCCGCGUGUGUGAAGAAGGCCUUCGGGUUGUAAAGCACUUUUGUCCGGAAAGAAAUCCCUGGAGCUAAUACCUUCGGGGGAUGACGGUACCGGAAGAAUAAGCACCGGCUAACUACGUG
rnacentral:rRNA from 1 species